GACACACACUCCAGUGGGCACCAUAGAAGAGUAGGGAAUCCUUUCAGAAAUGUAUAUGAAGCAAAAAAAGGAGAAUCUUUACUCCACCCAGCCAUCAAAAGGGGAGAAUCUGUCUCAAAAUUUCACAAACCUACUACUCUCCCAAAAAUUGUGCCCACAAGGCUCAAAGACAUUUGCCAGGAAAAGCUGGCAUCAAUGUGUACCAGAAGAAAGAGGACAUAUGAUUGAGAUCCAAGACUUAUUUGGCCAAAACUUAAAUAAGCAGGAAAAGGCUCAAUUGGUCGUAAUAGUGGGGGCUGCUGGGAUUGGGAAGUCAACACUGGCCAGGCAGGUGAGGAACGCUUGGAAGGAAGGCCAGCUCUACAGGGAUCACUUCCAGCAUGUCUUCUUCUUCAGCUGCACAGAGCUGUCCAAAAGCAAGCAGCUGAGUCUGGCUGAGUUCAUAGCACAAGGCCAGGAAGUGCCCACAGCUCCCAUCAGGCAGAUUCUGUCUCACCCUGAGGAGCUGCUUUUCAUCCUGGAUGGCAUAGAUGAGCCAGCAUGGGUCUUGAAGGAUCAGGAUCCUGAGCUAUGUCUGCACUGGAGUCAAAUGCAGCCUGUGCACACACUGUUGGGCAGUUUACUAGGGAAAUCUAUCCUUCCUGGGGCUUCCUUCCUGCUCACAGCUCGGACCACAGCACUAAAGAAAUUCAUUUCUAACUUUAAGCAGCCAUGGCAGGUAGAAGUCCUAGGAUUCACUAUGUUGGAACGGAAAAACUAUUUCUACAAAUAUUUUGAGAAGGAAAUAGAAGCAAUUGCUGCAUUUAGAUUGAUUAAAUCAAACUCAGUGCUCCUGACCCUAUGUGAGGUUCCCUGGGUGUGCUGCUUGGUCUGCAAUUGCCUGAAAAAGCAGAUGGACCAGGGUAGAGUAAUCUCCCUGACCUCACAGACAACCACAGCUCUCUGCCUGAAAUACCUUUCCUUGACAAUCCCAGGUAAGCACAGGAGGACCCAGCUUAGAGCCCUCUGCUCAUUGGCUGCUGAAGGCAUCUGGAAAAGAAGGACCCUAUUCAGUGAAAGCGACCUUUGUAAGCAAGGGUUAGAAGAGGAUGCCAUUGCCACUUUCCUGAAGAUAGGUGUCCUUAAAAAGCAGGCCAGCUCUCUGAGCUACAGCUUUGCCCACUUGUGUCUCCAGGAGUUCUUUGCAGCAAUGUCUUACAUCUUGGAGGAUAGUGAGGGAAGACAUGGUGAUAUGAAAAUCAACAGAACUGUGAGAAUACUGGUAAAAAGGUAUGGAAGACAAAACCUGUUUGAGGCACCCACUGUGCGCUUUCUAUUUGGUCUUUUGAGUAAAGAGGGAUUUAAAGAAAUGCAAAAGGUCUUUUCCUGCAAGCUUUCUGGGAAGUCAAAGUUGAUGAUACGGCACAUCCUACAGAAAUUGCAACCCCAUCAACCAUCUUGUCUGGGUUUGCUCCACUGUCUGUAUGAAAAACAGGAAAUGGAGCUCCUGACACUCAUGAUGCAUGAUCUUCGAGGAACAAUAAUGCAUGGACUAAUAAACAUUGCACACACAGUGUUGCAGAGAAACUUGAAGAACCUGGUGAUACAGACAGACAUGGAUCUCAUGGUGGUCACUUUCUUCAUUCGGUUGUGCAGUCAUGUGAGGAGUCUACAGCUGAACAGAAAAGGGCAGCAGGGAUAUAAGUUAAUGGCCCCUGGGAUGGUUCUGUACAGGUGGACCCCAAUCACUGAUUCCAGUUGGAAGAUUUUCUUCUUCAAUCUAAAAUUCACCACCAACCUGGAGGAGCUGGACCUAAGUGGAAAUCCACUGAGCUACUCUGCAGCAUGCAGUCUUUGUAAGGCCCUGAGACACCCUGGCUGCCAACUAAAGACCUUGUGGCUUGUUGAAUGCGGCCUCACAUCCACAUACUGCUCACUCCUGGCCUCAGUACUCAGUGCCUGCUCCAGCCUGACUGAGCUAAACCUGCGGCUGAACUACCUGGGUAACCGUGGUGUGAAGCUGCUGUGUGAGGGGCUCAGGAAUCCUGCCUGUAACCUCAGCACCCUGUGGCUGGAUGUGGCCUCUCUCAGGGAAGAAGUGAUUACAGAGCUCAGGACCCUGGAGGCAAAGAAUCUGAAGUUGCUCAUCUCCAGAGCAUGUAAGUCCCAUGUGAUUGUCCCUACUAAGAACAUGGAUAAAGAAGAAGUGGGUGAUAGCCUGGACUUACUGAAGCAGCAGAGACAACAGUCAGGAGACAAACACAUGGAACCUCUGGGAACUGACUAUGACUUCUGGGGCUCUACAGGACCUGUAGCUACUGAGGUGGUUGACAGAGAGAGAAACCUGUACCGAGUUCAAUUGCCAAUGGCUGGUUCCUACCACUCUCCCAGUACAGGACUCCACUUUGUGGUGACAAGGGCAGUGACAAUUGAGAUUGAAUUCUGUGCCUGGAGCCAAUACCUGGACAAGACUCCCUUGAAACACAGUCACAUGGUGGCUGGACCUCUGUUUGAUAUCAAGGCUGAGCAAGGAACUGUUUCUGCAGUGUACCUUUCUCGUUUUGUGUCUCUCCAAGAGGGAAUCGUGGACAGCUCCUUAUUCCAUGUUGCCCACUUUCAAGAACAUGGGAUUAUUCCUAGAAACACCAGCAAAGGUGGAACAGCAUUAUGCAGUACUGGAAAACCCAAGCUUCUCCCCAAUGGGAAUUCUACUGAGAAUGAUUCCGGCUGUCGGACACUUCAUCCCCAUCACUUCCAUCACACUGAUCUACUAUCACCUCUAUCUCGAGGAUGUCACCUUUCACCUUUACUUGGUCCCCAAUGACUGCACUAUUCGGAAAGUGACACUGAGGACCCCAAAUGUGGGGCCAUGGCCAUUGAUGAUGAAGAAAUGAAGUUUCAGUUUGUGCGCAUAAACAAGCUACCCCCAGUAGAUGCUCUUUAUCUUGGUUCCCGCUAUAUUGUGUCUGGCUCCAAAAAGGUGGAAAUUAUCCCCAAGGAACUAGAGCUGUGCUACCGAAGCCCUGGGGAAUCCCAGCUCUUCUCUGAGAUCUACGUUGGGCACAUGGGUUCAGAGAUUAAGCUACAAAUCAAAGACAAGAGGCACAUGAAUCUCAUAUGGGAGGCCCUGCUAAAACCAGGAGACCUCAGACCUGCUCUGGCCAGGAUUGCUUCAACCCCCAAAGAUGCUCCUUCCUUGCUACACUUCAUGGACCAGCAUCGGGAGCAGCUGGUGACCCGAGUGACAUCAGUGGACCCUCUCUUGGACAAGCUGCAUCGUCUGGUGCUAAGUGAAGAGUCCUAUGAGGCAGUGUGGGCUGAGACCACAAACCAAGACAAGAUGAGGAAGCUCUUCAGCCUCAGCCAGUCAUGGAAUCAAACCUGCAAAGAUUAAUUCUACCAAGCUCUAAAGGAGACUCAUCCUCACCUGGUCAUGGACCUCCUUGAGAACUCAGGCAGUGUCUCUUUGGGUACCUGA